GCCCAAGACACCUCUUCCUCAGCUUUCCCCUUGGCCUCCUCUGCAACCUUCUUCAGGGCCUCGGCAUCAUGCAUAUCUCCUUUGAGCCUUCACUUGACUAGUUUGAAGCCAACAAGUCCUUCACCAAGGUGGGCGAUGUCAUGAAUCACCUAGAAAAAGAGACCAAAGUUAGAAACCUCAAAAGCAUGAGAAAUAAAAAUCAAGUUAAGAACUUAUCUUGAAGAGAUUUCUAAAUGAAGUAGACAAGGGCUUGUCUAGA
rnacentral:lncRNA from 1 species